rnacentral:rRNA from 1 species
GUUGGCCUCGGAUCAGGUGGGGAUACCCGCUGAACUUAAGCAUAUCAAUAAGCGGAGGAAAAGAAACCAACAGGGAUUGCCUCAGUAACGGCGAGUGAAGCGGCAACAGCUCAAAUUUGAAAUCUGGCUCCUUCGGGGUCCGAGUUGUAAUUUGUAGAGGGUGCUUCGAGCGAAGCCCCGGCCCAAGUCCCUUGGAACAGGACGUCAGAGAGGGUGAGAACCCCGUGUCCGGCCGGCGGCGCUCCUCGUGUGAAGCCCCUUCGACGAGUCGAGUUGUUUGGGAAUGCAGCUCUAAAUUGGUGGUAAAUUCCAUCUAAAGCUAAAUACCGGCCAGAGACCGAUAGCGCACAAGUAGAGUGAUCGAAAGAUGAAAAGCACUUUGAAAAGAGAGUUAAAAAGUACGUGAAAUUGUUGAAAGGGAAGCGCUUGCGGCCAGACUUGCCCGCGGAGGUUCAGCCCGUCUUCUGGCGGGUGCACUCCUUCGCGGUCAGGCCAGCAUCGGUUUGGGCGGUCGGACAAAGGCCUUGGGAACGUAGCCCCCUCCGGGGGGUGUUAUAGCCCUCGGUGCAAUGCGGCCAGCCCGGACCGAGGAUCGCGCUCUGCUAGGAU